AACGCACGAGACCUGCGGACCUGCGGAGGGAUCAUUAAUGAGAAGCUGCCCCUCGUGGGUAGACCUCCCACCCCCUGUGAACUUACCUUUGUUGCUUUGGCAGGCCCGUCCUCUGGACCGCCGGCUUCGGCUGGCCCGUGCCUGCCAGAGGAUUCCAAACCCUGUCUGUCAGUGUUGUCUGAGUCUAUAUGAAAUCGUUAAAACUUUCAACAAUGGAUCUCUAGAUCGGAAGAGCACACG
rnacentral:misc_RNA from 1 species